GUGACAAGGGAUCAAGAGACCCAGGGACACACUCUCCCUUCUGGGACAGGGGCAUCACCCCAGCUGAGGGUUUCUUCUUCCCCAGGACUGAGCCCCAGCCCGAGGGCAGAGGGAGGAGCUGCCCGCGGCCCCUGCACCUGUGCGCAGCAGCGUCUCCUUCCCGAGCUGCAGGUAUCUGCGGAGCGACUCCACGCACUCGCCCUCUAGGUAGGCCUUGUAAUGCUCUGCAGCACCAGCCUGCUCCCACUUGCGUCGGGUGAUCAGCGCUGCCAGGUCCGCCGCCGUCCACGUGUUCAAGUCUUCGUUCAGGGCGAUGUAAUCUCGGCCAUCAUAAGCGAACUGUAGGUAUCCGCGGAGGAGGCGCCCGUCCGACCCCACGUCACAGCCGAACAACAGCUGGAACGUGUGAAGGCCUGCGGGAUCCCAAGGUCAGCGCCGCUCACCCGCACCGCCCCCGCUCGCCCUGGCCUAGUCCACCAGCGGACUCCUCCAAAGUGAAAGGGAAACCGGUCCUGGGUCGGUUCUGCUCCCGAACCUAGACUUGGGAUUGGAGAUCUCCGGCCCCUGUCUAGGGACAUUUCGAGCUCGUGACCUCCCACCCAGGGUCACUCACCGCCUUCACUCUGGUUGUAGUAGCGCUGCGCGGUCCUCAGGCUCCCUCGGAAACUCUGCUCAUUGCGCUUGGCGAUCUGUGUCUCCCGCUCCCAAUACUCCCGCCCCUCGUGCUCCAUCCAUGGAGCCCGCGGCUCAUACCUCGGAUUCUCCGCGUCGCCGUCGAAGCGCACGAACUGCGUGUCGUCCACGUAGCCGACAGAGAUGAAUCGGGGUUCCCGGAGGCCAGGGCGGGACAAGGCGGUCUCGAAAUACCGCAUCGAGUGUGAGCCUGGGGGCGGCGCGCGGUGAGACCCGGACCUCCUCACGGGACUCCGGCCCACUGCGCGGGCCGGGAGGGGAGCAGGGCGCCGGGCUCCGGAUGCGGGUGUAGAAGGGCGGAGGGUCUUGUGAGCGACGGGGGGACGCGGAUUCCACAGUGCCGUCCCCGCCCCUCCACGCAGAGGCCGUUUCCCUCCCGACCCCGCACUCACCCGCGCGGGUCUCGAUCAGGGUCAGGGCGGCCGCCAGCAGCAGGAGCAGCAUUCGCUGCGCCAUUGUCCCAUCUGGGAUACAGGGCAUUUGAGGCCCUCGGGCUGCUUGGACUUUAUAACCAGCGCCCGCGGAGGAGCUGUUGGUUCCUUCCCCAGGAUCCUGCCACCCAAUGGAGAUGAGACCUGCCAGAUAAUUCCUGCUACCUCCGGGUCCAGAGAGGGCAUCAGAUCCCCAGGAGCUAUAAAGUGGUGCUGCUCCAGGGCAAGGGAGGGGCAGGAGCUGAGCUGCAGGAGAGGGUGGUGUCUGCAGGGAGCAGAGUGAGGCCCUUGUGCACCUGUGUCUUAGUGAGGGUUUCCAUUGCUGUGAUAAGACCCCAUGACCAAAAGCAACUUGAGGAAGAAAGGGUUUCUUUCAGUUUACACUUCCACAUCUCAGUCUAUCAUUGAAGAGAUUCAUGGCAGGACCUUGAGAGAGGAUUCUAAGUAGGAACUGAAGCAGAGACCAUGAGGAUCAGUGCUAAUAGCUUUGUAGUUUAUGGCUUGCUCAGUCUUCUGUCUUAUACAAUUCGUGAUCACCACCCAAGACCAACUCCAGUGGGCUGAGCCUUUCCAUACUGAUCAUUCAUAAUAAUUUAAAAAUGCCUUAUAGACUUUCCCAAAAGCGUCCUGGAUGGAAGCAAUUUCUCAAUUCAGGAUCCUCUUCUUAUAUAUGUCUCAGUUUGUGUGGAGUUAACAAAUGCAAACAGCACAGCACCCUGGUGCAGGGUCACUCAGUGAGAGAUGAGGGAGGAGGAUGUGUGAGUUCCUCCCCCUGAGCUGAGCCAGGGACCUGCCCUGUGGACAGAGGCCCCCUGGAAAAACAAUUGGAAUGCAAGGAAUGGGAGCACAGUGGGUUCCAACUCCAUUCCUGCCCCUCAGUCCUGAGGACCUGUCUCUUCCUGCCUGUGCUUGACAAGAUUGAUAUAACCUCCGGAGGGACUGAUAAAGUCAGGGCAUGGGAGGAGAUGGGGAGGAAAAGAGGGACCUUUUCUUACCUCAGAGCAGGGUAAUCAGAUUUUGGGGAGACUGAGGAUAGGUAGGUAGGUAUGUAUGUAGUUAGUUAGGUAGGUAGUUUAUAGAUAAACAGACAGACAGAUAGAUAUAAAAGGCGGGGUGUGAACAUCUUUGGGGACCCAAGAAAGCUGGAUGCUGUCUAGGUUCAAAAAAAGCAUGCUGUUCCCUCACUGUCCAGGCUCUGCAGGGCCAUCUGCAGCUGGGGCAUGCAGAUGCAUUCUUGGGGCAUUUGGGGCAGGUGCUUUGAAGCUGUCUGGCAUGCAGAGUUUGAGGAAACACCUGGAGCUAGCAUUUUACUGAAGCAUAUCUGUAUAUAUAAGGUUCAGAGGAUAAUGUUUAGGGGGUUAGAAUAAAUUGUUUUCCUUAGCUGAACAUUCUAAACUUUUAGACCUAUUAGUUGGGGGUGGGGCAUCCCAAGACCACAGAAAAGGAGAAGAUAACCCCACCCUUAGGACUAAGCUGAAUAGGCAGGAGAUGAAACACGCUGUUGAUUGACAGUUCUUAUCUGGAGUCCUUUUGAUCAUGAGAGGUGGAUUCAAGUAGUUUCUUUGAACCUUAAAAGAAUUUUUUAAGUUUACAAAAUGAGAUAAAUUUUAGACAUGUAAACAUACCACUGUGUAAUGUGUACUGAACUUGUCAUUGUAGAAAAGGCAGCAGAUUCCUGCCUUUGAGUCAUAGUAAAAGCUUGGGGACCCUGAAAAAGGGGUUUGAGGUAAAAGCAUGAAUAGGGCAUACACAGAUUGGAUAGCUCAAUGAGAAGCCCUUUUAAGUCUAUACUUAGAGACAACCAUAGGAAAUUCAUAAUCUUGAGCUUGUGAUCACUGAUUAUCAUAGCUAGAUCAAUAACUCAUAAGAAUGCCAGUGAUUAAUGUUAAAACUCUGAACUCUUUAGAUCUUAAUAUAACAAUAGCAUAGAGAGGGAAGAAAUCUAAAACAUUUUUCAUUUUUAUAUACACUGUAAAUCACUUU
rnacentral:lncRNA from 1 species